GACGUAGGGCGCGAGCGUUGUCCGGAUUUAUUGGGCGUAAAGAGCUCGUAGGCGGUUCCGUAAGUCGUGAAGUCAAAUCUCUGGGCUCAACCCAGAAUCGCUUCCGAUACUGCGGUGACUGGAGUCCGGUAGGGGAGUGUGGAAUUCCUGGUGUAGCGGUGAAAUGCGUAGAUAUCAGGAGGAAUACCGGUGGCGAAAGCGGGUUGCUGGGCCGACACUGACGCUGAUGCGCGAAAGCCAGGGGAGCGAACGGG
rnacentral:rRNA from 1 species